AUUGAACGCUGGCGGCAGGCCUAACACAUGCAAGUCGAGCGGAUGAAGGGAGCUCGCUCCUGGCUUCAGCGGCGGACGGGUGAGUAAUGCCUAGGAAUCUGCCUGGUAGUGGGGGAUAACGUCCGGAAACGGGCGCUAAUACCGCAUACGUCCUGAGGGAGAAAGUGGGGGAUCUUCGGACCUCACGCUAUCAGAUGAGCCUAGGUCGGAUUAGCUAGUUGGUGGGGUAAAGGCCUACCAAGGCGACGAUCCGUAACUGGUCUGAGAGGAUGAUCAGUCACACUGGAACUGAGACACGGUCCAGACUCCUACGGGAGGCAGCAGUGGGGAAUAUUGGACAAUGGGCGAAAGCCUGAUCCAGCCAUGCCGCGUGUGUGAAGAAGGUCUUCGGAUUGUAAAGCACUUUAAGUUGGGAGGAAGGGCAGUAAGUUAAUACCUUGCUGUUUUGACGUUACCAACAGAAUAAGCACCGGCUAACUACGUG
rnacentral:rRNA from 1 species